UCACUGCUUAGAUAACCCACAUUUUCCUUACUUAUAUACCUCACCUUCGUUUAGAAACUUUGAAGUAUUAUGAAGAGGGAAUAAGGAGAAACUAGCGUGCGCCACCGCCCUCGGUUUGCACGCGUGUGUGGUUUUGCGACCCAGCUCAGCCUACAGUAAUUUUGUACGAGGUUCACCAACCUGAUACCGUGCAUACACCCCAAAAAUACAACAGACGGCAGCAAGGAGCAGCAGCAAACAAUGGCAGUUCGGUGGUCGAGCUCCCUUACGGCGUCACGACGGAGUCCAGCAGCGGCAAUAGCUCAGCCUCCUCUGUUUCACCGGCGCGGUAGUGGACGGCGAUCAGCGGCGCUCGAACAGUGAUGACUCUCUUCUUCCGCGAGCGUGAACCUACAGCAAUGGCCUCUGGCGGUGUGAUGGUGCGUUGUCGAAGAGGAUGGUGACUGACUGACUGCCAGUAGCGGCGUUCAGCAGGUCCGACGUGGGUGCAGUCUCCUCUGUUUCUUCUACCGGCGACGGGCAGACCUCCAAUGGAGCUGGUGGCAGCGUGCGGGGUCCGGCGUGACCACGCGGUAGCAGGUGGCGGAGCUGGCGGUUCCGCGAAGCCGCCUGGUGCGUGCUCUGUUUCCGGCUUCUCCUCGGUCUCUGGUUUCCCUCCCUCCGUUGGGUGAGCAGCGGCGACCUUCGUUCUCCUCUUCCGGUGGUGUAUGGCGGCGAGGUCCUUCUCUCUGGCGAAGCACUGGACGAAUGGAGCGUAGAAGAUGGAUUAAUGCUGGGUUAGAGAUGGAUUAAAGAGAUUAAUAAGGUCAUAUCAUGGAAGGAGUACCUUCAUAUUAAGGAUAUGUACUUUAACAAGGCCUUGGAGAUGGUUUGUUUCAUCAAUUCAGUCGUUGAAAUAACCAUGCAUGACGAGUGGUAAUGGGGCACCACUCGGUAGCAAAGUGGAAGCUAGCUAUAGAAGUAUGGGUGAGCAAACGGUCGAUCGGUUACAUAACUAACCGAAAAUUUUAUAUUGGACGGUUAACUGAUAUUUUGUUCACCCCUAUAUAGAAGUGUAGAAAUAAAAGUAUAAGAUAAAAAAGUACAAAGUGUCAAUAAGAAUUAGAACGGAUUUGUUAUAAACAUAUUAAUAAUAUUAAUGGUUUCUAUUGGUGUUUGAUGUUGUCAUCAUAUUAGAAUUAAUUGCCUUAAUUUUUUUGUUUUUGUAUUUUUAAAAACUUUUAUUUCAAUUAUAGGGUGAUACAUAACUAAACAACAAUAUUGAUAAUCA